AAAAAGACAAACCCUGAGUUUCCGUGUUCAACGUUUGACAGUCCGUCUUAUAUAAAAAUUUUUUAUAAUUAGUAUUUUAAUUGUUGUUAGAUGAUAAAACAUGAUUAAUACUUUAUGUGUGACUUGUCUUUUUAAAUUUUUUUAUA
rnacentral:pre_miRNA from 1 species